rnacentral:ncRNA from 1 species
AAAACGGGGUGCUAUUGCCCGAGCAAUGGCUGAGAUUAUACCCUUUGUACCUGUACGGAUAAUGCCGACGUAGGAAAGAGUGUUUCA